CAGUGCAUUUGAAAACUCCCCUUGCACCAGGGCUGACUGUAGCUGGGGGAAGACAUUUUACUCAUUUGCUCUUUCCUUUCAUACAGUCAGCUGGUCCCUCUUCUCAGGUGUAGAUCACCUAUUAUAAUUUUACCUAAUUUUGAUACUCUGAUAAGGAAAGUCCCAGGACUUAUCAGCUGGGAUAGGCCUCACUUACAAGACAGCUCUGUUCAGUAUUUGGAAGAAAGAAAGCCUGACAGGUUUCUUCGGAAAAGUGGCCAUCCAUGGAAUGAAUGAAAUGUUCUCUUUCUAUUCCAGGGAUUGCAGUGGCAAAGCUAGGCUAGGUCUUGGAGGCUGGUGUAAGGCGAUGUGGGUGAAGGCAGGAGGCUGAUGGAAAGACUGGGGGGAAGAAAAGCCGAAAUGGAUUCACGGUGCCUUGGAUGAAGGACGAGAGGGGAACUGCAAGCUCCUUCAACUGGUUCUGUCCGGUGAGAAGUGAUCAAGCUUGGGCUGACAAGAGGCUCAGGGAGCCCUCACGUUCUUUCGCUUUUUUACCUGCCAAUCAAACUGCUACAAGACAACACCCUGAUCUGGCAUGGACAUAUCCAACUUAGAAAUAAUGUUUCAUUCAAGAUAAGGCUCGUGGCUUAGGAGAUUGUGACCUGGCUUGCAUCAUUCUAAGACUUCUAUCGUCUGUUUUCAAAACCCAAGGAGGACCUCCUUUUCUGUGUGAUAGUUCCUCAUGCUUUGCCAGCCACUGGGUCUUUAAGGAAGCUUGCCAAGAGUUCCCGGCUGGGAAGGACAGUUCGAGUUCAUCAUAGACAAUGAGCUGGCACCACAGUUUAAGUGACUCACCAACCUGGUUGCCCACUUCAAAAUGUCAAGAACCACACUAUCUAAUUGAAAGAACUGUGUUUUAGCAAAGUGUAAUUGGAUCGCCUGGCAAGAUCAUCUCAAACUAUGUCUCUGACCUUGCCUUUCAGUGGCUAUUUUGAGCACAAGAGGAGAAAGGAAAUGAUUCCUGAAUUAUAUCUUGUUUUUAAAAAUUAAGAUUAAUUAAUACUUGGUUUUAUGUUCAUUCCAUUGUAGGAACUUAGUGAUUAUUACAAAACAGUCAAAAUAGGUCAUAGCAAAAUGAACGUUUAAGAUUAGGUUAAAACAUUCCUCUGAAAUUUUAGUAUUCACUUUUGAAGUGUCAAUUACUAUAUUUCUGUAAUUUCUCAUUUUUUUCUUGGCUUAGAGUCAAGAUGAAAAAUGAUAUUUGAAUCAAAGACAUUGUUUUGUUAUAUAGCCACUCCUUUCUAAAAUGCAAAUCCACCCUCCCCUCACCAAUGCUUUAUUCUUUGUGCGCGCACACACACACACACACACACACACACACACACACACACACAGACAUACACAGAACCAGCACCCAAAUGGUAGAGGAGGUCCUUCCAAGACUUCUAGGACCUGGAUCAUGUAAGCAGUAGAUGAGAAAAUGAAGUAAGAGAUAUAGAGUAAUAACAAUAAAAGUCAAUGAUUUCAUUUUACAAAAAAGUCAUUGUGUAGUACUCAGAUAUUUUUAAGAGCAAGUAUUAUUAUGACUAAAGUAUAUUAUACUUCUAAAUUAUUAUGAUUCUCAUCUAAUUUCAAGCCACACAUAGGCGCCAUUUGAAAGCAUUUUGUGUUACAACCUAUCAACAAAAAUCAACUAAUAGUUUUAUAACGUGCAUAGGUUUACCCCAUGGGGAAUUAAAAUUUUUAUCUGCAAGUAUUUCUGUUGUUGUGAGACUUUAGGACAAGACAACAUUUGGUGUUAACAUAGAAGAAUAUUCUAUGGCUUUUUUAGCUUUAAAGUUCAUUACUCUAAAAUAAAGUACACGUGGUAUUUUUUUCUUCCUAGUGUUCUCUUAUUAUAUGUAGAGUAUUUUCGGUUGUUGUUUUUAACGUAUACAUUAUUUUUAUUAAGUCAUUUCAUAAAAGAUAAGAUAUAUACUAAUAGACCCUUGGUUUUCUCCUAAUUUAAUUAUUUCAAGUCAAGCAAAAUUGGGCAAUUUUCUUUCAGGAAAAAAAAAAUAUUGAGCAUGAUUUUGAGGUAAAACUGAUUAUUUACAGCAUCUUUUCUCUAAUAGGCUAACAUUUAUGAUGGAUCUUAUUUCAAAGUUGAUUAUUCUCAAAGAAAAGUGGAGAUAUUAGAAUUUCCGAGUAAAUUGCAUUGUUUUAAAAAGUACUUUAAUGCAUUGUUCACAUUGUUGCCAGCUAUUGACCAAAAAAGAGAAGAAGAAAAAAGAAAUAAAAAAAGCAGUAUCUGCUCCAAACGUCAAGUUUUGCAGUUUGAAAGACUUGUACAUUAUAAUUGUUUUUUUCUUUUUUGGAAAGCAGUAGUAAUUAAUACCAAAGGCAUAGACAAUUUAGGGCCAUAACCUCCCUUCCCCCCUCUCCACCUUUUUUUUUUUUUUUUUUUUUUUUUAACUUUAACCAUGAUAGGCAUCUCUGCAAGGUAGGUUUUAACAUAUUUUUUUCCUAAUUUUUUUCCCUCCAUUCAGUAAGAAGGAUAAGCUUUUAGAGUACCCAGUCACCGUGGUAACUGCCAAAAAAAUUCUCCUGAAGUUUGAAGAGGUCAGCUAGCAGGGUCAACAACCCUGGCCUCUCUCUGAGCUCGGUCUAGCAUGCCCCAGCCUGCGGUUGGAGUGUCAGGCCAGAUCUGACCCUGGGAGGUGGACCAUUCUGGCUCUGAUAUAAAUUUUUCGAGUCAGUUCAUGGCCUGGACUCUCCAGGUGGCCUCCAAAAUCGAUUUUGACCCCCUGACCCUGUCUCACGGAGGCAUAGCAUCCACCCUAAGUAAGGAUUUAGCCAGGAAUGACAGCUUUCCACUGAGUGUUAUUGGGGACAGUAUAAACAGUUUGGAAAGCAAGUAAGGAGGUGUGAGGGCUAGCAAUCAUUAAAAGCACAUUAAAAAACAAUUUUUAAAAAUCUUUAUUAGAGAAAGUUGUAAAUGCAUAUCUGUUACAGAAUUCCUGUGAUUUGUAGAGUUUUCUAGUCAGUUUUGAAUAUAAAUAGGUCACAUAUCUUUAUCUUUUUGCAUACUUUGUUACAAAUAUGCAAAUAAGAUAGGCAUACUUGCUACAAAAUAGGUACAGCAGGAAUGUAAUAUGUUCAGAAAAGGCAAACUGGUUAUUAAAACACAUUAACAGGUAAGGAGUUUCUAAUAUUUUAAAUACUAAAAUUUUACAUGUGUAUUUUGAAGUUUUUAAAAUGGAAAAAUAAAGAACCUUUAAAAAACCCAACAGUGUGGAAUAAAGAUAAACUUGUUGCACUCAAGGUACAUUUCUACUUUGUAAAGCAAGAAGCCAAUACACUCAGUUGGAUAAAAAUGAGAGAAAAAUUGUAAAUAUAGAGAGUUACAGCUUAUAGAGCUGAAGAGGAAUAAAACAAAAAAAAGUGUCUCUGAAUAACUUUAUGUAUUUUCAACAGUUUAAGAUAUCAGAAACUUGGAAAAUA
ensembl:lncRNA SOX2-OT SOX2 overlapping transcript